rnacentral:rRNA from 1 species
CAGCCGCCGCGGUAAUACGAAGGGUGCAAGCGUUAAUCGGAAUUACUGGGCGUAAAGCGUGCGUAGGCGGUUUGUUAAGUUUGCUGUGAAAUCCCCGGGCUCAACCUGGGAAUGGCAGUGGAUACUGGCAAGCUAGAGUGUGUCAGAGGAUGGUGGAAUUCCCGGUGUAGCGGUGAAAUGCGUAGAGAUCGGGAGGAACAUCAGUGGCGAAGGCGGCCAUCUGGGACAACACUGACGCUGAGGCACGAAAGCGUGGGGAGCAAACAGGAUUAGAUACCCCUGUAGUCUCUGUCUCUUAUAC